rnacentral:rRNA from 3 species
GAGCCAGCCGCCGAAGGUGGGACAGAUGAUUGGGGUGAAGUCGUAACAAGGUAGCCGUAUCGGAAGGUGCGGCUGGAUCACCUCCUUU